GACGAACGCUGGCGGCGUGCUUAACACAUGCAAGUCGAACGGAAAGGCCCUGCUUUUGUGGGGUGCUCGAGUGGCGAACGCGUGAGUAACACGUGAGUAACCUGCCCUUGACUUUGGGAUAACUUCAGGAAACUGGGGCUAAUACCGGAUAGGAGCUCCUGCUGCACGGUGGGGGUUGGAGAGUUUCGGCGGUUGGGGCUGGAUUCGCGGCUUAUCAGCUGGUUGGUGUGGUAGUGGCUUACCAAGGGUUUGACGGGUAGCCGGCCUGAGAGGGUGACCGGCGACAUUGGGACUGCGAUACGGACCAGACGCGUACGGGAGGCAGCAGUGGGGAACAUUGCACAAUGGGCGGAAGCCUGAUGCAGCAACGCCGGGUGCGGGAUGACGGCCUUCGGGUUGUAAACCGCUUUCGCCGGUGACGAAGCGUGAGUGACGGUAAUGGGUAAAGAAGCACCGGCUAACUACGUG
rnacentral:rRNA from 1 species